AAAAUCCCGCAACUCAAAAAGUGUAAAACCAUACUGAUGAUCGGAGCCAAGGAUUGACUAAUGUAGUGAUAAACACGGGCAAUGAAAGCAUCUGAUAAAGGCAUAGUAUAUUGCGGCUCCCUGAUAAAAUUAAAUUUUCAAUGUUGGGACAGUUUCAGUGGCCCAGAGUCUAGAGGGUUGAGGGGCUUUGAAAUUGUUUAAUUGAAAUGUAUAGCUGGAACGCCUGUCAUGUAUGUUGGAGUUUGAAAAGUCAUUUUGCGUACUUUGACGCACAGAAGCAGGUGUAGCAUUACCCGAGACAGAAGAAGUAACUCCUUCAUUAGAAUAGACUGAAUUAGGGGUCAUUGGGGAGUCUGAAAUAAGAGGUACCACACUAUCAAGACGUGGGGUGAUUUGAGGAAGGAAAUUCUUUCCAUAAAAUGGUGAUUGUGUUCCACUAGAAGGAUAGGACUUUUCAUCUUCCAUUGUUUGCUCUUCUAAUUCAAGUGCAUCCUUUUCAAACUCCUUUACUUUACAAGACUCGUAUAAAUUGCCCUUUUUACUGCGAUCAUACAACCAGAGACCGAUAGCUGUCAAAAAGAUACCACUUCCUUGGGUAAAAUUUGUAGCUUGUUGAAACCAAAUGAUGGAAACUACAAUCACGAAAAUGCGCUUGAUGAGACUUGCUAUGGAAUAUGCAACAGGAGAAAUUAUGCUUAAUAGGGUAAAAGCCAGAAUAUUUUGAAAAAAAUGAGAAAGACCAUUGUAGAUCAAAUUUAGGAAAAC